rnacentral:pre_miRNA from 1 species
CAACUACUCCCUCUGUCCCAAAUUUCUUGUCUUAGAUUUGUCUAGAUAUGGAUGUAUCUAAUACUAAAAUGUGACUUGAUACAUCCGUAUCUAGACAAAUCUAAGACAAGAAUUUUGGGACGGAGGGAGUACUNN